CUGCAGGGCAUCCUAGCAAGAGAUGUCACAGAGGAUCCUGAGGUCUGCACUGGAGCUGCCACAUCUUCUCCCUUGGCUUCAGGCAGACCUGGAUUGGUGUGGCCACAAACAAGCAGCAAGUGUAGAUGACGCAGCACACCAGAGGGUGGAGAGAGAAGCUCACAGCCCUUCUGGACAGAAGAGCCACUGGUGCCUAUGGUGACCUGUCUAUGAAAGGCCACUCUCCCGGGUCACUCCUGCAUGGCCCAGGCUUCUUCUCUUUUGCAAGACUAAGUCCAAGCUCUCUAGCACGGCACAUGAGCCUCUGUGUGCUGACGCUUGCUCUCUUCACUCUUUAAGUUCCAACAAUAUAAACAUAUUUGUUGGCUCCCUUGUACUUUGCAGUAUCUGGAAUAUCUUUCUCUUAUUUCCUUGCAGGCAUCAUUAGCUCCAGGGAGACUUCCCCUCCCCUGCCCCCCUUAGGUGAGGCAAAGAACCCCCUAUCUGUGCCCUAAUAGCAAGCCUUCAUGAAGG
rnacentral:lncRNA from 10 species